rnacentral:rRNA from 1 species
AUUGAACGCUGGCGGCACGCCUAACACAUGCAAGUCGAGCGGUAGCAUGCUUAGUAGCAAUACUAAGUGAUGACAAGCGGCGGACGGGUGAGGAAUACGUAGGAAUCUACCCUCAAGCGGGGGACAACCAAGGGAAACUUUGGCUAAUACCGCAUAAUCUCGAGAGAGCAAAGCUGCCGUAAGGUGGCACUUGAGGAGGAGCCUGCGUCCGAUUAGCAGUUGGUGAGGUAAGAGCUCACCAAGGCGAUGAUCGGUAACUGGUCUGAGAGGACGACCAGUCACACUGGGACUGAGACACGGCCCAGACUCCUACGGGAGGCAGCAGUGGGAAUAUUGGACAAUGGGGCAACCUGAUCCAGCGAUGCCGCGUGGG